rnacentral:rRNA from 1 species
GACGAACGCUGGCGGCGUGCUUAACACAUGCAAGUCGAACGAAGUGGCGAACGGGUGAGUAAUACGUGGGUAACUGCCCUCCUUUUUGGGAUAAGCCUUGGAAACGGGGUCUAAUACCGAAUAGAGGGGGAUGGCUCGCGGCCUAUCAGCUUGUUGGUGGGGUAGUGGCCUACCAAGGCGACGACGGGUAGCCGGCCUGGGAGGGCGACCGGCCACAUUGGGCUGGGGUAGGGCCCAAACGCCUACGGGAGGCAGCAGUGGAGAGUAGUGCACAAUGGGGGAAGCCCUGAUGCAGCAACGCCGGGUGCGGGAUGACGGCCUUCGGGUUGUAAACCGCUUUCAGCCAUGACGCGGUAGUGGCAUAAGAAGCACCGGCUAACUACGUGCCAGCAGCCGCGGUAAUUC